rnacentral:rRNA from 1 species
UCCGUCCGUCCACGCGCAGGAGGGCUGAGGCGCAGGGUAAGCGCGCGCGCGCGCGAAGCAGCCGCACGGCUCCCAAAUCCCAAAACUAAGGCCAGGUCUAGCCGCACGGGCACACCGCGGGCCAGACCUGCCUACCCCAAAUCGGCCCUCUUAACAGCACAAAAGCCACGCAACGGCCGACGCCGCCCCAUAUCUCAAAAACUGACUACUCUAAACCUCCGCCGCCGCGACGAAAACCGAGCAACGUCCUUAUACCGCCCGUUCAGGUUCCCACGCUCCUUGUUCCGGUUCCGCGUCCGGCGGUCGGUCCUCCGGCAGAGCCACCUCGGCCAGCGACUACACCACCUCCUCCGGUUCGGGGUCUUGCCCCUUCACUGACUCCGGGGACGACGGCUCCAGCGGGGACGACGACUCCAGCGACGGCGCCUGCACCUCUUCCUCCUCCCCCUACGCCGGCUCCGGCGUGUCCGACGUCUCUUCGGUCGACUUCCUCUCGAAGUAGAUAUGGGACAAAGACAAUUCUGCGUUAGUCCACUUUUCGACCUCGACGUCGAUUCGGGACCUCUAAGACAGUAACUACAGUUUGUUAAGGAGAACCUGCGAGGACUUUGAACGAAGAUGUGUACGAUACUAAACUAUAACGUAUGCUUUCUACCAAGUUGUGUGGUCAAUCUCCUGAUGUUACUUUAAAGACUCUAACGUCUAUAUUGACGACCACCGACAAGCAACCUCUACCAACGACGUUGUAUACUACUCUCCAGAUAAUCCAGCGUAGAGGCGGCACAGGCCCUUAACGAGAGAGAAAGAUCAGAAGUACAGAGUGAUAGCUGUAGGGAUCGAGACGUCGUCCUCAGACGUGUCCGCUUUUUACGUCUACGUCCUUUUUGACGAGUGGUCCUCGAACUACCAAACUUAAAGUACCUCCUAUGAUGACAUCGAGAAUGAUUAAACGACCGUAGACGUGGUCGUCUUUAGUUUACACACCUGUCGUAUCAAAAAAGUAGUAAGUUAGGAGGUGGUUCAAUAUCCUCCAAUGUACCCCUAGAGUAGAUAUAACUACAACACUGUAAUCUUCCUUCGUUUGUGACGUAGUGCCCCUCGAGGUUUAGAAAAAUACACUUGCGAUCGUUACCUUCACAAAACCUAAGUUCUGGAAACUUUGUUAGAGUGCUUCGGUCGUGAAAUCAACCGGACGAUGUUUUUUAAUCGCGGUUCAAAUUCUUUCCGAAAGCGCUUUAUAACCUGGCGUUUCGUAGCCGGGUAGGAAAACUCUUACAAGUCCGGAACGAAGGUCACUGAAGAACCAACCCUCGAGUGGGGCACGGUCUUGUAUCUUCUCUACGUCGGUCCCGACUCCUAAGACAACACGACAGUAUACCAUGGCUCAACUAACCCUACGUCUCUCUGACCUUACUCCUUGACGUCAGUACGGCUCUCAAAGGAGUACGGUUAGGAGUUCUUUCUUAUAACGCUCCGUCUCGUGAGAUAUUUCACUGUACACUAAAACAACUACGACGACAUUUUCCUCGUCAGCCACAGUAGUUAUCUACAUAUGGAGGUUAGUUAGGUUGACUAGGUCUUACAAAGGUAUACAUACAGGUGUUGUUGUAAAAGAAGUCAAAACGCCAACUGAGACUGAUACUCGUUUAGAGUUUCCUGGUUUUCGGUCUAACGGUUUUACCAAGAUCGUCCUCAUGCGGUCAGGGGAGGGGUCCAAACCCACGGUUCCGUCUAAGACCUCAUCGUGGUCUAAGUUUUUGACUUCUCCGUUUGUCACAAAACCUUCCUGGAUGUCUCCGUGUUUAUCGUCUGUCACUCGUCCGCUGGAUACGAAGACGAUUAUUACUGAACUUUCCUUGCUUUAGAAUGGUUCUUCGACUAUAAAGCCCCGAAAUAUUAGAACGGUACCGUUAUUAACUAAUGUCUCCAGUGUCCCAACAUCGAGUCUCAUAGUAUGGACCAUAAGAAGUUCCUCUGUUCAGACUGAGGGAAGACAUACCAAGACAACUAUUACCGUUCUUCUAUAGAACCUUGCUCAGUAAGGUACGUUUCCAUCAACUCCGACGUUUCGCAGAGGUACACUUCCUCGUACACCAAAACCUACCAAGACCGUUAGGACAUUUUAAUCGACGAUGUCAACUUACGUUCCCUUAGCAACCAUCACUACUGUCCGUAAUAUAAAACCUAGACUACUCUCACUGAGGAGCUCUAAGAUUGAUGUAACCUGACGUCGUGGCAAAGACACACAACUCUGGACUCGAACAUCGGAGUAAACAGCUCCGACUUAGGUAUUUCUUUAGGGGAUGCGUCUUUCAAGGCCUACAAGGGUGUCUUAACUUACCCGUUCUUAGACUACUGUAACGGUCACCAAGACUACGAUGCCGACGAAGACACCUCCUUGUACUGUUCAGACUACUUUGGGGACAAAGAUGUGGACGACUUUCAUUACUGAGCUGACGACUUUAAGAAAAGUUAGGUUUACAUAAAUGCCUCAUGUUCGAACGACCGUCAGGACUCCUCUAACUUCGUCUACUUCGAAACCAAUUUUUCCAACCAAGCAUAGACAAUCUAUGCCACUAGGGUUUCAAACAAGUCCUAGAAACGAGAGAACUACAGAGGGGAUACCUGCCAGUUUGAAAUUGACUACACGACGUAUCGUUACCCUAUUUACAAUCCAUAGAUCCGUUUCAACGUCCGAACUAGUUCGUAAACGGUGUAGACACCCUGAAUAAAAGCCGACUCUAUUAACAAUCCAGACGCUUCGUACAACAGUUCCUGUAUGACUCCGUUUCGGGCCUGGUAUUAUAACGUGGACGACAACGAGUAAAGAACUUAACAAAGAAACCGUUUCAAAACCGACGAAGUUGUUUUCCAUCAUGACCGUCGGGCGUCAGCUUUUGGGUCUUCUUUAGUUCAGUUAGUCGAAGAAGUUUUUUCCCAGUUAGACGUAAAAGGGUCGAUUGUAGACUGCCUCAAACCAGACUGUAAUUCCUCAAGCGCUUUGUAUUUAUGGUCAAACUUCGCGGCCUACUACACUCCCAACCCCGAUUUUCUCAACGUCAAGAGGCGUUAGAAACGGUUUUCCACCCUUAUUGUUAACGACGAGCGUUUAUGCUAGACGUAAGAUGAUGAGGUAAGGUUGGAAGUCUAUAGAACUUAGAGGUUGGUCAGCAAUUCGUGAGUCAAGGAUGGACAUGACUACGUUCCUUCGAAUACCUUCGACCCUUUUAGGCCUACCGACUCCCUUGAGAUUUACUCCGCACACGUGAUAAAAGACUUCGAAAAAGAGAUGAAGUUGUCUAGUUACCAGGGUACGUGUUCCUACGACGCUUGACAACGGCCAUGGAACGAUACCAAAACAUGGUACGGCCGCUGUGUCGUCCUCGUUAACACGUCGUUGUAUCUCUCGAAUAGUAUUUACUCGCUACGGAACCAGAUCUGGUAGGACUAUGUCGGGUGUCGAUGCCAUUGUACCGAAACAAGAUAGUACCCGAGUUAGUUUGGCUUGAACGCGACGCUGUGUACAGGGCAUGUGACGACAACGACUCAAAUCGUAGACCAGGACUAGUAGGCCUACAACGUCGUUGAGAAUAUUUACACCGCUACUACAUGGUCCUACGCUCGUUAUACUCAUGACGAGAAUCCAUAGAAGUUCUUCGUGAAUUCUUCUUGCUCGCGGAAAAUCCAGGUCCAGUAUAAGUUUGUCGUCAAACGAUAGUACGAGAGCGGUAACGUAAGUCGACAUACCCACGUAUGUUCGAAAGUCAAGUCGUACUUUGGUUCUGUGUACUAUAUGACCAGUUUGUCAAUCCAUCACUACUAAGUGCUUGUUUUCUAAGUCUUUUAACCAACUUAUGUAAAUUCCCCGCUCUUGUCGUCCAAUAACGCGUCUUCGUUUUUCCGGUCCCUUGACAGGGGAGACGAUUGCGACAACUUAAGAACUUCCGAGUAGGACCUAACAAGGUUCGUUACUUCCGUCGACGCUAGGUUAGACCACCGCUACCUGGUCGUUUACAGUUGUCUCAUUCUCCUCCACUGCUCGCGCGACGGUUCCGCCGGCGUCUUCGGGCUUUUUGCCGACAACGGUCCCCACAAUUAGAGGCGUUGCCCGGACGACGCUCGCAAAGACUGUAGUUAGUUUAAGAGUUGGAGUAGUUGAGACGACGAAGGCGCAGACGACGAAGAAGACCGUUACGAGUCCGUUGACUUAGACUUCACGGCGUCAGGUUGCCAGGACGGGACUUACCGCGUUUCCUCCGGUUCCUAUGUUCGGCAGGCAGCCGGUUCCGACUGCCAGUUCGGGGUCAUCCUAAUCCACGCAGUAACCUCGACUUCUUCGUCUUCAGGUUCGUCUUCCGUAUCUUUCCUGAGACGUUACCGACAAAAGAGGAAGAAUGUUAAAACCUGGAGAUCCCACUAGUAAAAAACCGGGUAUCCUAACAGUGCAGGUGUAUCACCGUCUCAUUAAAAUAAAUACCACCCCACCCCAAGCAUCUUACUCACGUUAUUAUUAUUAUCGCUGCUCCUACCCCACUUCUGUUUAAGAACACCGCUAUGAAGACUAACUACUCUAUUUUUCGGAAGGUAUAGAUUAAAGACAUUUGACCGAUACGGUUAAACAAACCGUGUGUCUUUAAUUGUUUCGACUUCCAAUUAUAGAAAAGAAUAAGUAAAAAUGAAAACACGGAGUCUUUUACGUAACAAAGUUGGAUAGACAACUG